rnacentral:misc_RNA from 1 species
GAUGAAGAACGUAGCGAAAUGCGAUACUUGGUGUGAAUUGCAGAAUCCCGUGAACCAUCGAGUCUUUGAACGCAAGUUGCGCCCGAAGCCAUCAGGUUGAGGGCACGUCUGCCUGGGCGUCACAUAUCGUUGCCCAAUGCCUAUUGCAGUGCAAUAGGAAUUUCUAGGGCGAAUGAUGGCUUCCCGUGAGCGUUGUUGCCUCGCGGUUGGUUGAAAAUCGAUUCCUUGGUAGGGUGUGCCAUGGUAGAUGGUGGUCGAGUUAGAACGAUACCGAUCAUGUGCAUGCUCCCCAAAAUAUGGCCUCUAUGACCCACACGCGUCUUUUGACGCUCAUGACGAGACCUCAGGUCAGGCGGGGCUACCCGCUGAAUUUAAGCAUAUCAAUAAGCGGAGGA